UACGAAGGGAGCUAGCGUUGUUCGGAAUCACUGGGCGUAAAGCGCACGUAGGCGGAUGUGUCAGUCAGGGGUGAAAUCCCGGAGCUCAACUUCGGAACUGCCCUUGAUACAGCACGUCUUGAGUCCGGAAGAGGUGGGUGGAAUUCCUAGUGUAGAGGUGAAAUUCGUAGAUAUUAGGAAGAACACCGGUGGCGAAAGGCGGCCCACUGGGUCCGGUACUGACGCUGAGGUGCGAAAGCGUGGGGAGCAAACAGG
rnacentral:rRNA from 1 species